rnacentral:rRNA from 1 species
UGAGCAACCUGCCCUUCUCAUCGGAAUAAGCGUUGGAAACGACGUCUAAUGCCGAAUACGACCUCCUUUCGCAUGAUCGGAGGUGGAAAGGUUUUCCGGCUGAGGAUGGGCCCGCGGCCUAUCAGCUAGUUGGUGGGGUGAUGGCCCACCAAGGCGACGACGGGUAGCCGGCCUGAGAGGGCGACCGGCCACACUGGGACUGAGACACGGCCCAGACUCCUACGGGAGGCAGCAGUGGGG